rnacentral:rRNA from 1 species
GACGAACGCUGGCGGCGUGCUUAACACAUGCAAGUCGAGCGGAAAGGCCCUUCGGGGUACUCGAGCGGCGAACGGGUGAGUAACACGUGAGUAACCUGCCCUCCACUCUGGGAUAAGCCC